UUUUAUUUUUCUUUGGACAGGAAAGAUAAACUAAAAGGACUACACGUCAAUUGAUAGUGCUUUCAUAAGAAGCCAUAAAAUUCAACAGCGAUAAUUGGUAACUGAAAUAUUGUGAAUAUUAAAGCUGUGGUGAUUUACUUUUAAUUAAUUGGCUACAUGGC
rnacentral:ncRNA from 1 species